CUUUGCUCUGCUCCGCUCCGCCGUGUCCUCUUCCGAUCUGUUACAGCCCCCCGGCAGCAGGGCUCGCCGAAUCCCGGGGCCGAGGGAGCCAGACCCGUCACCGGGCUCUCCCCCCUCCUUGCGCCCAGCCCCGCGGGGGGCUCUCCCGCGAGGGGGCGUUACCCGCGGGGGCGCGCUGGUGUCCGCCAGGGGGGCCGGCCCGCCUCUCCCACGGCGCGA